AUUGAACGCUGGCGGCAGGCUUAACACAUGCAAGUCGAGCGAGAGGCGGACGGGUGAGUAAUGUCUGGGAAACUGCCUGAUGGAGGGGGAUAACUACUGGACACGGUAGCUAAUACCGCAUACCAUCCGAUGUUCCCAGAUGGGAUUAGCUAGUAGGUGGGGUAAGGGCUCACCUAGGAUACGACCCCUAGCGGGUCUGAGAGGAUGACCAGCCCCACGGGAACUGAGACACGGUCCAGACGCGUACGGGAGGCAGCAGGGGGGAAGAUUGCACAAUGGGCGCAAGCCUGAUGCAGCCAUGCCGCGUGUGUGAAGAAGGCCGUCGGGUUGUAAAGCACUUUCAGCGAGGAGGCGUUACUCGCAGAAGAAGCACCGGCUAACUCCGUGCCAGCAGCCGCGGUAAUUC
rnacentral:rRNA from 1 species